rnacentral:rRNA from 1 species
GACGAACCGUCCAAACGUUAUUCGGAAUCACUGGGCUUAAAGGGUGCGUAGGCGGCCCGGAAAGUUGUGUGUGAAAGCCCCCGGCUCAACUGGGGAGGGUCACGCGAUACUGCUCGACUCGAAGGCAGGAGAGGGAAGUGGAAUUCCCGGUGUAGUGGUGAAAUGCGUAGAUAUCGGGAGGAACACCAAUGGCGAAGGCAGCUCGCUGGGACGUGACUGACGCUGAGACGCGAAAGCGUGGGGAGCAAACAGG